AAUGGACCUAACAUAUUGGGAACCUUUUCAUGGACUAUCCUCAUAAUGGAUGUCAAAUUCUUGCAUUCAGAGGCUACUGAGACCAUGGGCAAGAAGGAAUCAACAUUGGUACCAAUGCUGAAAUAUUUUUUGCAAGUCUCAAGCAUGGUUUCUUUCUGAUUGUGAGGAUGAAUUUUACAAAGAGGAUGUUUGAGAAG